GUUCCGCAACAGCUUCAUACCUGAAGAACAUUCUCCAAUUCUAUCUUCCAUAGAGAGAGAGGGAGUAUCGUAGAAGCCUCAUCAUGCAAGUAUAUGAAAUUGUAGCAUUAGCUUUCGCCAUCAUUAUGGCCGCGGCAAUGGACGGCGCCGGCAUGCCAGGUGUGCCUAAAUUACCAGGUGGAUAAAGAAAAGCAGAAGAAGCAUUCGGGAGAAUUCAAUUUCUUGGAAUCUCACCCAAUGGAGUACUCUUUUCAGCAAAAGAGAUCUUAAAUGGAAAUUGUUUCAUAAAAUUUUUCUGAUUUAAUUAAAGCGAUAAUUGUUUCAGACA